GUGUAGCCCAGACUGAAUCUGUGGGUUGGAUCUCAGGGCAGUUUCCUGUAAGCUUACAAAAAUCUGCUGGAUUUAGGCUGGGAAAACACCAUAAAGGAAGAAUUGUAGAUUGGAAGCCAAAUGUCUUCAUGAGUUGUAUUACAUCAUGGAACCAAAGACACUGUUCAACCUGCAGAGAAACCAGCAUCUCCUCUGAGUAGAACACAAAGAAACUAUGACAUGUGCACACUCCUUACAAAAACUACAAUAAUCGUAUUAUGCCUGAUUCUGCAACUACGUGCAAGGAUGACAGUGCAUCUCAUUGACUUUAAUAGGAGUUCCAUAUGAUGCAGUUACAGAAUGGGACCCAUUCAAGACCCAUUCCCACAGAAACUAUUACGGCAAUCACGUGUGGGAGUCAAAAGCUUCAGUUGCACCCUAUGAUUGCCAGUGAUGGAAUAAACAGAAUAUAUGACCAGCCACCUUAUGCACCUUGCCAGAGGGCAAGCCAGCUUAUGCUAUAUGGGCAAAGAAGCUAUGCCCCUCUGGAAUUUGCUAUGAUGAAGAUGAUGAGUUGUUUUCCACGUUUCCGAGAGUUUCAAUCAUGAUGGGGCUUUUAAUUGCUUAAUUCUUCCACUCAGGGCAUUUUUUUUAGUUUCUUUUUACUCCUGUACCAUGUAACGUUCAAUGAUCACUCACUGCUUAGAGGGCUUGCAAGAGAUCUGCUUUAUUCAGUAUCCAGUUUUAAAUGGCUAUACAUAACUAUAACAGCUUCAAAGCAUCCCACCCAGCCUCUCUGUCUAGGAAGCUCACCCCUUAAAGACACUUUCCCCAAUACCUCUCACACAGCUCCAACAUUCCCAAGCUUCAGAUUCUUAAAAAGGGUGACACUUUUGUCUGACACAUUAAUGACUUGAACUCGAAACUCUCCACUGGAACUUGCUGGUACUAAUAUAUUACUUAUAGAACCCUUUUUGGUGGGGUUUCCGCUGCAAAGAGGCCCGGAAAGCUGGAAUGCUUCUUAUCUCCAAAGUGGGACUGGUGUCAGGUUUCUUUCCUGCACUAAAACUGGGCAUUGAAUCAAGGCUCUACAUGAUUUUUGCUCCUGCUCUUGCAGGGGAAGGGUGUGGGCAGGGCCGGCGCAACCCAUUAGGCGACCUAGGCGGUCACCUAGGGCUCUACAAUUUGGGACGCGGCGAUCACGGCGGUAUUUCGGCGGCGGGACCUUCCGCCGCCUCUGUGGGGGGCAGCAUUUCAGGGCAGGACCUUCCGCCGCCUAGGGCGGCAGAAAAGCUGGUGGCGCUCCUGGGUGUGGGUGCUGACUAGAAAGUGUUGCCAAUUAUUCCAGUUUUUUGCUCCAUUUAUCUAAUUCCUACCAAUACUCCUGCAAGAGCCACAUUUCCAACAACUAUUUCAUCAUCUAGUACCAGAUGGAGUCAUAGAGUUUAAGGUCAGAAGGGACCAUUAUGAUCUUCUAAUCUGACCUCCUGCACAAUGCAGGCCACAGAAUCUCACCCACCCACUCCUGCAACAAACCCCUAACCUAUG